rnacentral:rRNA from 1 species
AUCGAACGCUGGCGGCAGGCCUAACACAUGCAAGUCGAACGAGUGGCGGACGGGUGAGUAAUGUCUGGGAAACUGCCUGAUGUAGGGGGAUAACUACUGGAAACGGUAGCUAAUACCGCAUACCAUCGGAUGUGCCCAUAUGGGAUUAGCUAGUAGGUGGGGUAAAGGCUCACCUAGGCGACGAUCCCUAGCUGGUCUGAGAGGAUGACAAGCCACACGGGAACUGAGACACGGUCCAGACUCCUACGGGAGGAAGCAGUGGGGAAUAUGGGACAAUGGGCGCAAGUCGGAUGGAGCCAUGCCGCGUGUAUGAAGAAGGCCUGCGGGUUGUAAAGUACGUUCAGCGGGGAGGCGUUAGGCGGAGAAGAAGCACCGGCUAACUACGUGCCAGCAGCCGCGGUAAUAC